AACAAACGCUGGCGGCGUGCCUAAUACAUGCAAGUCGAACGGGGAAAGCUUUCGGGUGAGUACUAGUGGCGCACGGGUGAGUAACGCGUGGAUAAUCUGCCCUCGAAUGGGGAAUAACUAGUCGAAAGAUUAGCUAAUACCGCAUAAGACCACGACUACUGAGGUAGUUGGGGUCAAAGGAGCAAUUCGUUUGAGGAUGAGUCCGCGUAAGAUUAGCUAGUUGGUGAGGUAAUGGCUCACCAGGGCGAUGAUCUUUAACUGGUCUGAGAGGAUGAUCAGUCACACUGGAACUGAGACACGGUACAGACUCCUACGGGAGGCAGCAGUAGGGAAUAUUGGACAAUGGGGGCAACCCUGAUCCAGCAACGCCGCGUGAGCGAUGAAGGCCUUCGGGUCGUAAAGCUCUGUUGUAAGGGAAAAAGUUCUGAUUGUACCUUACGAGAAAGGAUCGGCUAACUUCGUGCCAGCCGCCGCCGUAA
rnacentral:rRNA from 1 species